UCAUUAGAAUAUCAAGUAAGAGCUAUGUUUAAUCGUUUUAACUAGCUAAUUUAUUUCUAACAGUCAGUUAAGCUAUGUUUGUUGUCAUACAGUACAGAUAUUGCAACUAACAUCAUCAUCUGUUUAGCACACAGAAAAGUCAACUCAAAGUAUUCUGAAAACUUUCAAACAACACAUGCAGGCUUACGAGGAUUUACAGAAGGAAUACGCAUUUUCUUUAAUUUUAUGAGUUGUUUUAUUAUGUUUCUUGUGGUUCAUGUUUUUGUCGAAGGAGUCGGUUAAGUUGUAGCACUGUGAUGCUUUCGAUGUCUGGGGUAAAGGAACCACAGUUACCGUUAAACCAGAGGGUUCCUCUGUGGCUCCCUCCCUGUCCGUCCUGAGUCCCCUGCAGAGUCCUGGCUACCCCCUGAAGACAGCAGACGAGCUCGGUCCAAAUGUCUGUCUGGUCACAGAUUUCCGUCCGAAGGGGGACGACGUGGUUCUGAAUGUGAAAGGUGGUCCGGUCAACGUGAGCACUGAUGAUGCUGUUCUGUCAAAGAACAACACCUACUACUUUGCUACAUUCAUGAACGAAACCAUCUACUCCUGUGGGAUGAACGGGAUGAUCGGCAACAAUGAAGCUGAUGAUGCAUGUGGGAACAUUUAUCCAGAAAAAGCCAAGCUGAACUUCUACCUGCUGCUGAUGAACGGAGUCCGAGUGGUGUUCACCAAAGCUCUGGCCUUCAGCACCGUCCUCACCAUCAGAGGCCUGCUCUUCUAACACUGAAUAAACUUUAAAUAAGCAGAAAUUACAUUAAAAAAGGGCACAACAUAAAGUCUGAAAUGUUUCAUUUGGGUUGUUUUGUCUUUACCGUAGUUUGUAUACAUUUUGAUUCUAAAAUUCAACUGAAAUAAUGGAAUAGGUGACUGUAAAAUGGUUUUAUUCUAAAAGAUGUUCACUGAGUAAAUAGUAUAAAACAUUUGUCUGUAUUUUUGCUGUAAACAUUUGUUGUAAAUACAAAUUCUAGGUAGACAUUGGUUAAAUCUUUCACAUUUUUACUUCAUAGUUUAAUUUAAGACAUGUACAUGUUGCAGAGAAACAUUUCCUCAUGAGCUUCUUUAAUUAUGGGUUCCACGCUUCACUACCUGCAACUGCAGCAUCAGAUCAUCCUGUAUUAUAAUUCAGCAAUGACAGUAUAUACAUUUUGUUUUAUGUGUUCUAAUUGUCCAACAUUUUUCAUCUUGAUUGUGUGGGAUUUUUUCUUUAAUUCUUUGCUUAACUGUGGCCUUCUUGUUAAAAAAUAAUAAAUAAAAAAUGAGCAGGUG